rnacentral:rRNA from 1 species
AUUGAACGCUGGCGGCAGGCCUAACACAUGCAAGUCGAGCGAGCGGCGGACGGGUGAGUAAUGUCUGGGAAACUGCCGGAUGGGGGGGGAUAACUACUGGAAACGGUAGCUAAUACCGCAUACCAUCAGAUGUGCCCCGAUGGGAGUAGCUAGUGGGUGGGGUAACGGCUCACCUAGGCGACGGUCCCUAGCUGGUCUGAGAGGAUGACCAGCCACACUGGAACUGAGACACGGUCCAGACUCCUACGGGAGGCAGCAGUGGGGAAUAUUGCACAAUGGGCGCAAGCCUGAUCCAGCCAUGCCGAGUGUGUGAAGAAGGCCUUCGGGUUGUAAAGCACUUUCAGCGGGGAGGCGUUACCCGCAGAAGAAGCACCGGCUAACUCCGUGCCAGCAGCCGCGGUAAUUC